rnacentral:misc_RNA from 1 species
AACGCACAUUGCGCCCUUUGGUAUUCCGAGGGGCAUGUCUGUCUGAGCGUCACGGAAAAAUGCUCGAGCCCAGCUCGGUGUUGGUCCUAGUGGGUAAUCCACGGGGCCGAAAUUCAGUGACAGCGGUGUCCACUGGCACUCCGACGUAGUAAUAAACAACCUCGUCGAAGAGUCUCUGUGGCCGCUUGCCGAACCCAAUCUAUAGAACAUGAUUGACCUCAGAUCAGAUAAGGAUACCCGCUGAACUUAA